rnacentral:rRNA from 1 species
GACGAACGCUGGCGGCGUGCUUAACACAUGCAAGUCGAACGGUGAACCUCUUCGGAGGGGAUCAGUGGCGAACGGGUGAGUAACACGUGGGCAACCUGCCCCCGGCUCUGGGAUAACUCCAAGAAAUUGGGGCUAAUACCGGAUGUUCACCGCUUCCCGCAUGGGUGGUGGUGGAAAGGGUUUCCGGCUGGGGAUGGGCCCGCGGCCUAUCAGCUUGUUGGUGGGGUAGUGGCCUACCAAGGCGACGUCGGGUAGCCGGCCUGAGAGGGUGACCGGCCACACUGGGACUGAGACACGGCCCAGACUCCUACGGGAGGCAGCGGUGGGGAAUAUUGCGCAAUGGGCGGAAGCCUGACGCAGCGACGCCGCGUGGGGGAUGACGGCCUUCGGGUUGUAAACCUCUUUCAGCAGGGACGAAGCGCAAGUGACGGUACCUGCAGAAGAAGCACCGGCCAACUACGUG